CUUCUCCAGCUACACCCUUCCCUCCCAUACACUAAUCUCAAGUUAUCCUAAUUUUAUGAAAAAUGAUUACCAAUCUCUAGUACAUUUUUAUUAUAUUUUGUAAACCUUUUGAUUUAUUAUGUGGUAUAUAAAAAGGGUCCUAAUUUUAUUUUAUUUUAUUUCAAUUUUGCUUAAACCCACUUCAUUAGUACAUUAUGAGAGGGUCCACAAC
rnacentral:lncRNA from 1 species